AAUAUCAAAGGUGAGCCAGUACAGGAUGGACCCGCGUCUGAUUAGCUAGUUGGUAAGGUAACGGCUUACCAAGGCGACGAUCAGUAGCCGACCUGAGAGGGUGAUCGGCCACAUUGGAACUGAGACACGGUCCAAACUCCUACGGGAGGCAGCAGUGGGGAAUAUUGCACAAUGGGCGAAAGCCUGAUGCAGCAACGCCGCGUGAGUGAUGAAGGCCUUCGGGUCGUAAAACCCUGUCCUCAAGGAAGAUAAUGACGGUACUUGAGGAGGAAGCCCCGGCUAACUACGUGCCAGCAGCCGCG
rnacentral:rRNA from 1 species